GAUGAACGCUAGCUACAGGCUUAACACAUGCAAGUCGCGGGGCAGCAUGGGGGUUGCUUGCAAUCCCCGAUGGCGACCGGCGCACGGGUGAGUAACGCGUAUCCAACCUGCCCUUCACCACGGGAUAACCCGGCGAAAGUCGGACUAAUACCGUAUGUUGUCCAUUGACGGCAUCCGAUUUGGACGAAAGGCUUGGCGGUGAGGGAUGGGGAUGCGUCCGAUUAGCCAGACGGCGGGGUAACGGCCCACCGUGGCUACGAUCGGUAGGGGUUCUGAGAGGAAGGUCCCCCACACUGGAACUGAGACACGGUCCAGGCUCCUACGGGAGGCAGCAGUGAGGAAUAUUGGUCAAUGGGCGUAAGCCUGAACCAGCCAAGUAGCGUGCAGGAUGACGGCCCUAUGGGUUGUAAACUGCUUUUAUGCGGGGAUAAAGUGGCCCACGUGUGGGCUUUUGCAGGUACCGCAUGAAUAAGGACCGGCUAAUUCCGUG
rnacentral:rRNA from 1 species